GGGGUUGUGGCUCAGCGGUAGAGUGCUCAUUUAGCACAUGCAAGGCCCUGGGUUCUAUCCUCAGCACCACA
rnacentral:tRNA from 1 species